rnacentral:rRNA from 1 species
AUUGAACGCUGGCGGAAUGCUUUACACAUGCAAGUCGAACGGUAGAGGGGGCAACCCCUCGAGAGUGGCGAACGGGUGAGUAAUAUAUCGGAACGUGCCCAGUCGUGGGGGAUAACGUAGCGAAAGUUACGCUAAUACCGCAUACGAUCUACGGAUGAAAGCGGGGGAUCGCAAGACCUCGCGUGAUUGGAGCGGCCGAUAUCAGAUUAGGUAGUUGGUGGGGUAAAGGCUCACCAAGCCAACGAUCUGUAGCUGGUCUGAGAGGACGACCAGCCACACUGGAACUGAGACACGGUCCAGACUCCUACGGGAGGCAGCAGUGGGGAAUUUUGGACAAUGGACGCAAGUCUGAUCCAGCCAUUCCGCGUGCAGGAUGAAGGCCCUCGGGUUGUAAGCUGCUUUUGUACGGAACGAAAAGGUUUCCAUUAAUACUGGGAGCUCAUGACGGUACCGUAAGAAUAAGCACCGGCUAACUACGUGCCAGCAGCCGCCGUAA